UACGUAGGGGGCGAGCGUUGUCCGGAUUUAUUGGGCGUAAAGAGCUCGUAGGCGGUUUGGCAAGUCGGGUGUGAAAACUCCGGGCUCAACUCGGAGACGCCACUCGAUACUGCUAUGACUCGAGUCCGGUAGGGGAGUGCGGAAUUCCUGGUGUAGCGGUGAAAUGCGCAGAUAUCAGGAGGAACACCGGUGGCGAAGGCGGCACUCUGGGCCGGAACUGACGCUGAGACGCGAAAGCGUGGGGAGCGAACAGG
rnacentral:rRNA from 1 species